rnacentral:rRNA from 1 species
GACGAACGCUGGCGGCGUGCUUAACACAUGCAAGUCGAACGGUAAGGCCCUUCGGGGUACACGAGUGGCGAACAGGUGAGUAACACGUGGGUGAUCUGCCCUGCACUUCGGGAUAAGCCUGGGAAACUGGGUCUAAUACCGGAUAGGACUCCUGGCUUCAUGGUUGGGGGUGGAAAGCUUUUGCGGUGUGGGAUGGGCCCGCGGCCUAUCAGCUUGUUGGUGGGGUAAUGGCCUACCAAGGCGACGACGGGUAGCCGGCCUGGGAGGGUGACCGGUCAAGCUGGAACUGAGAUACGGCCCAGACUACUACGGGAGGCAGGGGUGGGGAAUGUUGCACAAUGGGCGCAAGCCUGAUGCAGCGACGCCGCGUGAGGGAUGACGGCCUUCGGGUUGUAAACCUCUUUCAGCUAUGACGAAGCGCAAGUGACGGUAGUAGCAGAAGAAGGACCGGCCAACUACGUGCCAGCCGCCGCCGUAA